rnacentral:rRNA from 1 species
AUUGAACGCUGGCGGCAGGCCUAACACAUGCAAGUCGAACGAGUGGCGGACGGGUGAGUAAUGUCUGGGAAACUGCCCGAUGGAGGGGGGUAACUACUGGAAACGGUAGCUAAUACCGCAUACCAUCGGAUGUGCCCAGAUGGGAUUAGCUACUAGGUGGGGUGACGGCUCACCUAGGCGACGAUCCCUGGCUGGUCUGAGAGGAGGACCAGCCACACUGGAACGGAGACACGGGCCAGACUCCUACGGGAGGCAGCAGGGGGGAAUAUUGCACAAUGGGCGAAAGCCUGAUGCCGCCAGGCCGCGUGUAUGAAGAAGGCUUUAGGGUUGUAAAGUACUUUCAUCGAGGAGGCGUUACGCGCAGAAGAAGCACCGGCUAACUCCGUGCCAGCAGCCGCGGUAAUUC